rnacentral:rRNA from 1 species
CGCGCAAGUGUGCCAAGGUAAGUCCGCGUGCUUUCCGUUAAAAAAGCCUUUGGCCAAUUUAAAAAUUUCUGCGAAUUAAGGGGGGGUCAAACCAGGGGCCACCCGCCGGGGAAGGCCCACGGCCCCAAUUGGGACCAACUUUAUUGGGUCCUAAACCUUCCUAACUCGGUUAAUAAAUUCCCCGUGAAAUUCCAUCUCUUAAAUGUAUGGGGUGCCGGAAAUACUGUCUCGGUUGAGACUAGUAACGUCAGAAGUAUGUUCAGAGUAGCGGUAAAAUGUGUUAAUCCUGGACAGACUAACAACAGCGAAGGCAUCUUACGAGAACAGUUCUGACAGUAAGGGAUGAAGGCUAGGGGCGCAAAACGGAUUAAAUACCCGUGUAGUCCUAGCAGUAAACACUGCACACUAAACAUUAGUACCUCCUCAGAGGCAUUAGUGCUGAAGGGAAGCCGAAAAGUGUGCUACCUGGGGAGUAUAAUCGCAAGAUCGAAACUUAAAGGAAUUGGCG